CAACACAAACCAUUCUGGGAUUCUGUAAAGGUGCAGAGCACUGGCCCUUCUGCUUUCCCUUAACAAUUCUACAGACUUUAGUUUUCUUUUUUCCAUAAAUUUCAUUACUUAUUCUCUAAGAACGCUCUUCUCACCAGUGUUUCUGUGAUUGGUUUCACUGAGAGGGACUGAAAAGGGAAUGACAGAACUCCAGUGGUGCCAAGAGAGAAAGAAAACUUAAGAACAAGAAUUGCAGUGGCUCUGUCCUCUCCCGGGGCCGUGGAGAACAUGUUUUCACUUGCAUGACAGUUUUAUGUGUUUCUGAGGCUCAAAUAUCUGCUGAGGGUUUUGCAGCCAACAUUUUAGGUCUGUUCAAGAGACCUUGGUCAGUGGGAACAGGAACUGGAGGGAGGUGUUCUCUGGAAUGUGAGCUAGAACAGAGCAGCUCUGCCUGGGGUGGGCCGAGAAUUGGAAUUAAUUAGGUAUGGAAUUAAAAUAACAGUGGUUCCCAUUGACAGAAGACAGCAUAAUCCAGAUUAAGCAAGAGGAAGAGUUGUGCACUGCUGUUCAGGAGGAGGAGGAGGCUGGAGAAGCUCCUGGAGAGCCCUGCCCAGAUCUUUUAGAAGUGUUGAGCAGACUUGCCAGCAGCCCCAACAGCAGAGCAAACGUUUUGUGAUCCUGAGGCGUCCAGUCAGACCAGGAAAGGCAACGAGGUGGAUGCCAGGGAGCUGCCAGGCACUGAGGGUGAGGACAUUCCAAGA